GACGAACGCUGGCGGCGUGCUUAACACAUGCAAGUCGAACGCUGAAGCUCAGCUUUUGUUGGGUGGAUGAGUGGCGAACGGGUGAGUAACACGUGAGUAACCUGCCCCCUUCUUUGGGAUAACUCCCGGAAACGGGUGCUAAUACUGGAUAUUCACUGCUCUUCCCUUGGGGGUGGGUGGAAAGGGUUUUGCUGGGGGGUGAUGGGCUCGCGGCCUAUCAGGUUGUUGGUGGGGUGAUGUCCUACCGAGUUGUUGACGGGUAGUCGGACUGGGGGGGGGACCGGGAAGGUUAGGACUGAGAUAGGGACCGGAAUACUACGCGGGGGAGCAGUGGGGAAAAUUGUGGGAUGGGCGGAAGCAUGAUGCGGCGACGGAGCGUGAGGGGUGGAGGCCGUCGUGUUGUGAACCUCUUUCGAUAACGGUCAAGCCGGAACAAUGGUGGUGGUGAGGGUAGUGGGUAAAGAAGCGCCGGCUAACUACGUG
rnacentral:rRNA from 1 species